GCUUACUUGGUGGAAUUGGUAGACACGAUUGACUUAAAAUCAAUUCUUUAAGAGGUAUCGGUUCAAUUCCGAUAGUAAGUA
rnacentral:tRNA from 1 species